rnacentral:rRNA from 1 species
UACAGGGGGGUGCAAACGUUGCUCGGAAUCAUUGGGCGUAAAGCGCACGUAGGCGGUCUGUUAUGUCGGAUGUGAAAGCCCUUGGCUUAACUGAGGAAGUGCAUCCGAAACUGGCAGGGCUAGAGUACUAAAGAGGGGUCGCGGGAAUUCCCGGGUGUAGAGGUGAAAUUCGUAGAUAUCGGGGAGGAACACCGGUGGCGAAGGCGGCGACCUGGUAGAUACUGGACGCUGAGGUG